UACAGAGGGUGCGAGCGUUGUCCGGAAUCACUGGGCGUAAAGGGCGCGUAGGCGGCUCAGUAAGGUUGCGGUGAAAGCCCGGGGCUCAACCCCGGGUCGGCCGUGGCAACUGCUGGGCUGGAGCACUGUAGGGGCAGGUGGAAUUCCGGGUGUAGCGGUGGAAUGCGUAGAGAUCCGGAAGAACACCGGUGGCGAAGGCGGCCUGCUGGGCAGUAGCUGACGCUGAGGCGCGACAGCGUGGGGAGCAAACAGG
rnacentral:rRNA from 1 species